rnacentral:lncRNA from 1 species
GAAGAUCCAUAUUAUGGUCCCUGUAAGUAUUUUUUGGUGUACUUGGACAGUAAGAAACAGUAUAUGUUUUGAUGAAAUCUCAACUCUGACCACUCUCUAAAAGAUGAUGCCUAGUUGGAGUACCUAACCCCUGUAAAUAGCCCUGAUCUGUUUUAGGACUUUGUUAGCUCCCCAAAUCUAAUAUAGUUUCUUUGGAUCCAAUCCCUGUUUUGCACCUUUUGCAUCUUCUUGAAACCUAUUAAUGAAACAUCUUACUUCAUCAGAGGAAAAAAACUGUGCGCGCCAAAGUAGUACAAAUAUGGAACAAGUAAAGUCACCAUGUCGGCAUGUCCCCAUAUGCGCUAAUAUGUCACCAUCCCUUAAGAUGAAAAACAGUAUUUGUUCUAUAUUGAAAACCUAAAUAAACUGAAGUUUAACCUAGCAAUUGGGAAUUGCACGCAACAAUUGCACACCUGAAACCCCUAGCAUCCUACAAGAUCAUGAUUGUGGUACAUCUCAAAACUUUGUUUAAAUAGAGAAGGAUCACAAAAGAACUCUGUGAUUAUGUCCUUCUUGAAUUUCGCAAAAUAGAAGCCACAAUACUAAAUAAUAAUUUGCAUCUUCAAAUUAGAUUACACUAUCUCAUCCACUAGUUGGAGACAUAUCAUGGCACAGAAAAACUUAUUAGUAUAUCGGAUUAGUUAUCAAGAAUCAUCUUUAGUUCAAAUUAGUUAUCAAGAAUCAUCCAUAACCAAAAAAUUCAAUUGACCAUAAAAUUUAAAGCGAAAAUAAGUGUAUUCUACAGGGAAGAAAUUGACAAACCACUGAAAGUUAAAAGAUCAAAAACUUUCAAAAUGAUGACAAGAAGACUGAUGCAUGAUCUAAGAAAGUUACCCAAUUCAUCCGUCGUAUUCCUUUACCCGAAUUCUCAAAAACCCAAAAAUCAAAGCAAGAUUGAAACAAAUAGAAUGCAGAUUGAUUGUUUCACUAAAGAGGAAAAAAAAUUGCUGCAAUGAUAAUUUCAGGAAAGAAAAAUUAGAUAUAAAUUGUCUAUGCAUCUUAUCUUAAACUCACAAACUUAAAUUUUAGUAUUCAUCUUUUUCCAAAUCAAAUAAACAAUUCUCAAAAACUUAUCCAAUUCAUUUGCCAUAUUUUUUACUCUCAAUUCUCAAAAAACCAGAAACCAAAGCAAGAUUAAAGCAACAAAUAAGUGCAGAUUGUUUCCGAAAAGUGUAAUAAGAAAAAAUUAAUGACAAGUGAUGAUUUUUGGAAACAAAAUUAAGAUAAAAAUGACAGAAACAAAGCUUUACUAAUUGAAGAUUUACCUGGAAAUGGAAGGGGUCGAGUAUGGAUUUAGAUUUUGGAGCACCCAGGAGAGACAAGUAAUUCAAAAUGAGGAGAAAUCUAGAGAGAGAGACUGAGAGAGAGAGAGGAGC